rnacentral:rRNA from 1 species
UUUUUNGAGUUUGAUCCUGGCUCAGGAUGAACGCUGGCGGUAUGCUUAACACAUGCAAGUCGAACGGUCUCUUCGGAGAUAGUGGCGGACGGGUGAGUAACGCGUGAGAAUCUNGCUUCAGGUCGGGGACAACCACGGGAAACUGUGGCUAAUACCGGAUAUGCCGAGAGGUGAAAGGCUUGCUGCCUGAAGAUGAGCUCGCGUCUGAUUAGCUAGUAGGUGUGGUAAAAGCGCACCUAGGCGACGAUCAGUAGCUGGUCUGAGAGGAUGAUCAGCCACACUGGGACUGAGACACGGCCCAGACUCCUACGGGAGGCAGCAGUGGGGAAUUUUCCGCAAUGGGCGAAAGCCUGACGGAGCAAUACCGCGUGAGGGAGGAAGGCUCUUGGGUUGUAAACCUCUUUUCUCAGGGAAGAAAAAAAUGACGGUACUUGAGGAAUAAGCAUCGGCUAACUCCGUGCCAGCAGCCGCGGUAAUACGGAGGAUGCAAGCGUUAUCCGGAAUGAUUGGGCGUAAAGGGUCCGCAGGUGGCUAUGUAAGUCUGCUGUUAAAGAACCUAGCUUAACUAGGUAAAAGCAGUGGAAACUACAAGGCUAGAGUGCGUUCGGGGUAGAGGGAAUUCCUGGUGUAGCGGUGAAAUGCGUAGAUAUCAGGAAGAACACCAGUGGCGAAGGCGCUCUACUAGGCCGCAACUGACACUGAGGGACGAAAGCUAGGGGAGCGAAUGGGAUUAGAUACCCCAGUAGUCCUAGCCGUAAACGAUGGAUACUANGCGUGGCUNGUAUCGACCCGAGCCGUGCCGAAGCAAAAAA